AGAGUUUGAUCCUGGCUCAGAUUGAACGCUGGCGGCAUGCCUUACACAUGCAAGUCGAACGGCAGCACGGGAGCAAUCCUGGUGGCGAGUGGCGAACGGGUGAGUAAUAUAUCGGAACGUGCCCAGUCGUGGGGGAUAACGCAGCGAAAGCUGUGCUAAUACCGCAUACGAUCUCUGGAUGAAAGCGGGGGACCUGCAAGGGCCUCGCGCGAUUGGAGCGGCCGAUAUCAGAUUAGCUAGUUGGUGGGGUAAAAGCUCACCAAGGCGACGAUCUGUAGCUGGUCUGAGAGGACGACCAGCCACACUGGAACUGAGACACGGUCCAGACUCCUACGGGAGGCAGCAGUGGGGAAUUUUGGACAAUGGGCGCAAGCCUGAUCCAGCAAUGCCGCGUGCAGGAUGAAGGCCUUCGGGUUGUAAACUGCUUUUGUACGGAACGAAAAGGCUCUUUUUAAUAAAGAGGGCUCAUGACGGUACCGUAAGAAUAAGCACCGGCUAACUACGUGCCAGCAGCCGCGGUAAUACGUAGGGUGCGAGCGUUAAUCGGAAUUACUGGGCGUAAAGCGUGCGCAGGCGGUUUUGUAAGACAGAUGUGAAAUCCCCGGGCUCAACCUGGGACCUGCAUUUGUGACUGCAAGGCUAGAGUACGGUAGAGGGGGAUGGAAUUCCGCGUGUAGCAGUGAAAUGCGUAGAUAUGCGGAGGAACACCGAUGGCGAAGGCAAUCCCCUGGACCUGUACUGACGCUCAUGCACGAAAGCGUGGGGAGCAAACAGGAUUAGAUACCCUGGUAGUCCACGCCCUAAACGAUGUCAACUGGUUGUUGGGUCUUUACUGACUCA
rnacentral:rRNA from 1 species